GUUGUAACGGUGCAUGUGUAGACAAAGAGUGCGUUGAGAAAGGGCACCUGACUGUUAACUAUGGCAGGACAAGAGCGAUUUCAUCCCGUACAAAACGAUUAGAUUUCCAUCAUGUGCUAGGGAAAAUGUCACCACAAAACAAAUCAAGUAUAUCAUUCAUUUGAGUUAUUGUUUUGCUAAAAAUUCGGCGACGGGUAGAAGGAAAUUCGGUAACGGGAAACCAGAAAAUUUACAGUUUUGGCAGUCUGAAAAUAGUUUCCGGUAACAAAAGAGUCUCACGUAAAACUUUUUGCCGGAGCGUGAGACACUCCCAGUGGGCGUAGCCCACUUAAUAAGAGCCUAUCGGCUAAUAAUUUGAAAGGGUUUAAGGCAGAGUUGUAAACCCAGCGUGGAGUCUCAAUCACAGCCGUAUAGCCAUGUCCUCCAUCUCAAAAGCACUUCCGCUCGAAAUCGCAAACAACAGUAGAAAUCUGUAUCGGGAGUGCCUUCGAAGAGCCAAGUUUGUGGGUCACAAGCAAGGUAAUACCGAGCUAGUUGUUGAUAUGGUUCGACAACAAUUCAAGAAAAAUAUGCAUGAAACAGAUCCAGAAAAGAUCCAAAAGAUGAAGGAUGAUGCUGCAAGAGGCCUUAUCAAUCACAUGCUUUUUGAAACUGAAAAAUUGAUAGGAAAGAAACUUUUUCAAUCCUAAGGGGACACUUCAUAAUAUAUUUUAGACGGUCACAGCUAUCAUGGUCUAUGCAAUAUACACUUUUAGUUCUUGUGACAAACGGUAUUGUUGUGACAUCAGCAAAAACAGAACUGCAAAUUCAAUUUGCAACAAAUUGGAAUUUAUUUGGCCAAGUAGGUUUCCAAGUAGUCUUGUGUUUAAAGAUCUCAAGCUACUGUAACUUAGUGUUGAAAAAAGCCUUUGGUAAAAGGCUGCAUACUCAUCAUGAUGACUGAAAACAAAGUGUAUUAAGGCUUCUUAUAUGCAUAACUGGAUUACAACGAAGAUUAACGAUUGUCUAAUCUCCAAUUAUUGUCUUGCUAUAUUACUAGCCCUUGCACCAAAAGAAGGUGCAAUGGUUAUGCCGAUAGUAAAAUAUACAUUAUAUAAUAUAUUGGAGAACACAAAUCAAGGAAUGUGUUAACUAAAUUUGUUCAAA